GACGAACCGUGCGAACGUUGUUCGGAAUCACUGGGCUUAAAGGGCGCGUAGGCGGCUUGCCAAGUCCGGGGUGAAAUCCUCCAGCUUAACUGGAGAAGUGCCUUGGAUACUGGCGAGCUCGAGUGAGGUAGGGGCCGUUGGAACUUCCGGUGGAGCGGUGAAAUGCGUUGAUAUCGGAAGGAACGCCGGUGGCGAAAGCGAACGGCUGGACCUCUUCUGACGCUGAGGCGCGAAAGCUAGGGGAGCGAACGGG
rnacentral:rRNA from 1 species